CCCUUAGAUGUUCUGGGCCGCACGCGCGCUACACUGACGAAUGCAACGAGCUUAUAACCUUGGCCGAAAGGUCUGGGUAAUCUCCAAAUUUCGUCGUGAUGGGGAUAGAUUAUUGCAAUUAUUAAUCUUCAACGAGGAAUGCCUAGUAAGCGCAAGUCAUCAGCUUGCGUUGAUUACGUCCCUGCCCUUUGUACACACCGCCCGUCGCUCCUACCGAUUGAAUGGUCCGGUGAAGCGUUCGGACCGUGGCCUUUGGACGGUUCGCCGUCUGUUGGCUGCGGGAAGUUCGUUAAACCUUAUCAUUUAGAGGAAGGAGCAGUCGUAACA
rnacentral:rRNA from 1 species